UCCACGCCGUAAACGAUGCUCACUCGCUGUAUGCGAUACACAGUAUGCGGCCAAGCGAAAGUAUUAAGUGAGCCACCUGGGGAGUACGUUGGCAACAGUGAAACUCAAAGGAAUUGACGGGGGCCCGCACAAGCGGAGGAACAUGUGGUUUAAUUCGAUGAUACGCGAGGAACCUUACCUGGGCUUAAAUGCAGGACGACAGGCGUCGAAAGAUGCUUUUCUUCGGACGGCUUGCAAGGUGCUGCAUGGUUGUCGUCAGCUCGUGCCGUGAGGUGUCGGGUUAAGUCCCAUAACGAGCGCAACCCUUACCGUUAGUUACCAUCAGGUCAUGCUGGGGACUCUAGCGGGACUGCCACCGUAAGGUGAGAGGAAGGUGGGGAUGACGUCAAAUCAGCACGGCCCUUAUGUCCAGGGCUACACAC
rnacentral:rRNA from 1 species